rnacentral:rRNA from 1 species
UACGUAGGGUGCAAGCGUUAAUCGGAAUUACUGGGCGUAAAGCGUGCGCAGGCGGCUUGGUAAGUCAGAUGUGAAAUCCCCGGGCUUAACCUGGGAAUUGCAUUUGUGACUGCCCGGCUAGAGUUUGGCAGAGGGGUGUAGAAUUCCACGUGUAGCGGUGAAAUGCGUAGAUAUGUGGAGGAACACCGAUGGCGAAGGCAGCCCCCUGGGUCAAAACUGACGCUCAUGCACGAAAGCGUGGGGAGCAAACAGG